rnacentral:ncRNA from 1 species
CCGGUGAACGGCGGCCGUAACUAUAACGGUCCUAAGGUAGCGAAAUUCCUUGUCGGGUAAGUUCCGACCCGCACCAAAGGCGUAACGAUCUGGGCACUGUCUCGGAGAGAGGCUCGGUGAAAUAGACAUGUCUGUGAAGAUGCGGACUAUUUUUAAUAAACAUGAGUGAAAACCUAAAGAAAUAUUCGAUUGUUUUGAGCAA